rnacentral:rRNA from 1 species
UGCCCAUAUAACACUUGAAAACAGGUGCUAAUACCGUAUAACACUAUUUUCCGCGUGGAAGAAAGUUGAAAGGCGCUUUUGCGCCACUGAUGGAUGGACCCGCGGUGCAUUAGCUAGUUGGUGAGGUAACGGCUCACCAAGGCCACGAUGCAUAGCCGACCUGAGAGGGUGAUCGGCCACACUGGGACUGAGACACGGCCCAGACUCCUACGGGAGGCAGCAGUAGGGAAUCUUCGGCAAUGGACGAAAGUCUGACCGAGCAACGCCGCGUGAGUGAAGAAGGUUUUCGGAUCGUAAAACUCUGUUGUUAGAGAAGAACAAGGAUGAGAGUAAAACGUUCAUCCCUUGACGGUAUCUAACCAGAAAGCCACGGCUAACUACGUGCCAGCAGCCGCGGUAAUACGUAGGUGGCAAGCGUUGUCCGGAUUUAUUGGGCGUAAAGCGAGCGCAGGCGGUUUCUUAAGUCUGAUGUGAAAGCCCCCGGCUCAACCGGGGAGGGUCAUUGGAAACUGGGAGACUUGAGUGCAGAAGAGGAGAGUGGAAUUCCAUGUGUAGCGGUGAAAUGCGUAGAUAUAUGGAGGAACACCAGUGGCGAAGGCGGCUCUCUGGUCUGUAACUGACGCUGAGGCUCGAAAGCGUGGGGAGCGAACAGGAUUAGAUACCCUGGUAGUCCACGCCGUAAACGAUGAGUGCUAAGUG